rnacentral:rRNA from 1 species
AAGUCUUACCGUGGCAUACUUGUUUCGACAUUCGUGAAAAACCGGGGCUGGAAC